UAAACAAGAAGAUUUGGGCUGAUGUGGCACGUUCUUAGGGCUUCUCAGGAUUCAUUUUGGCGGGAAAAUGAGUUGAGUUUUAUAUCAUCCGCGGAUACCCAUUUUGAUGUGAUCCGACCCGUUUUAUGACCCGGGUAUAUAAGUUACAUAAAAAAACCUAAUUUCCUGUAGCCCCAUUCUUUUCCUUCACCGCUUCACAACCAAACCCUAGCCUCCGUCUUCCUUGAAGCUUCUACAUCUAAUUUUCUCUGAAAAGAUAGGUGUCGCUUGUGCUUUGAAUCGACUGAUAAAGGAUUCCAAAAUCAAACCGAUUCACUUACAAAUGGUGGUGGCCUGAAAAGGAACGAUGACAACGACAUUGGUUGAUUUAGGUUUUCCCAGUGGUGGUCUUAUGAUGGUUGUGGUUUAACGCAACAACGAAAUGGCGGCGGCUAGGGUUUCACCAACACAUAAAUCGAUCUGGACCGACCGGUGUUGACGAAAAAGGAAUUACUCUUUGUUUUCGGAAGGAUGUUUGGGGGUUUAGCUAUGACAUGUUCUGAUAAACUUUCUGAUGUACCGACUAAUCUUUAGGUCAAAUUUAACUUUCUUAUUCAUUUAUUUUCGUUCUUGCAGUUAUCUAAUGGAUGAAGAUGUACUUGAUUAUAAAUGACAUAUUUGCCAUCAUUUUUUGCACAUAUGAUACUGCAAUUUGGUGUUUGUAAAGUAAGAGAUGUGGACUAAAGUUGUUUCUGUCAUGAAAAUAACUUAUGUGGUAGUUUGUUAGUUUCAUUUUUUAUGACACAUUGUUCAUUAUUAUUUAUUAUUUUGGAAUUUUUUUUGUCAGGUGCCCAAGGGAAAAUGGGUUCCUUUUUUUAAAAGUUUGAGUUGGAGAAUAUAUGUUCGGAAUUUCGCAUCAUACAUGCCUGUCACGUUGAUUUGUGAUCACCAUGUUAUUGAUGGUAUGUGUUGUUAUGGCUAUAAUUAUGUGUCUAAAUGGACUCGGUUGGGUAACGGGUCAGAUGGGUAUAUUUGUUGAUACAUAUAUUUGUUCAUGUAUAUUAUUUAAUCGAAAACAAUUAAUUAUAAACUAAUAAGAGUUCUAUUUUCUAUAUUGGUUGCUUUUUAAAGUAGGGGAAAAUGGUAAUGG
rnacentral:lncRNA from 1 species